rnacentral:tRNA from 1 species
GCUGGGAUGGCGGAAUUGGCAGACGCGCCAGCCUUAGGAGCUGGUGGGGCAACCCGUGGGAGUUCAAGUCUCCCUCCCAGCA